ACAGGUGGCGCACGGUUGUCGUCAGCUCGUGUCGUGAGAUGUUGGGUUAAGUCCCGCAACGAGCGCAACCCUACUUGCUAGUUACCGUCAUUAAGUUGGGGACUCUAGCGAGACUGCCAGUGAUAAACUGGAGGAAGGUGGGGAUGACGUCAAAUCAUCAUGCCCCUUAUGACCUGGGCUACAAACGUGAUACAAUGGCUGGAACAAAGGGAUGCGAAGCAGUGAUGUGGAGCGAAACCCAUAAAAACAGUCUCAGUUCGGAUUGAAGUCUGCAACUCGACUUCAUGAAGUCGGAAUCGCUAGUAACCGCAGAUCAGCUACGUUGCGGUGAAUACGUUCCCGGGCCUU
rnacentral:rRNA from 1 species